ACGCUGGCGGCGUGCCUAAUACAUGCAAGUCGAGCGAACGGACGAGAAGCUUGCUUCUCUGAUGUUAGCGGCGGACGGGUGAGUAACACGUGGAUAACCUACCUAUAAGACUGGGAUAACUUCGGGAAACCGGAGCUAAUACCGGAUAAUAUUUUGAACCGCAUGGUUCAAAAGUGAAAGACGGUCUUGCUGUCACUUAUAGAUGGAUCCGCGCUGCAUUAGCUAGUUGGUAAGGUAACGGCUUACCAAGGCAACGAUGCAUAGCCGACCUGAGAGGGUGAUCGGCCACACUGGAACUGAGACACGGUCCAGACUCCUACGGGAGGCAGCAGUAGGGAAUCUUCCGCAAUGGGCGAAAGCCUGACGGAGCAACGCCGCGUGAGUGAUGAAGGUCUUCGGAUCGUAAAACUCUGUUAUUAGGGAAGAACAUAUGUGUAAGUAACUGUGCACAUCUUGACGGUACCUAAUCAGAAAGCCACGGCUAACUACGUGCCAGCAGCCGCGGUAAUACGUAGGUGGCAAGCGUUAUCCGGAAUUAUUGGGCGUAAAGCGCGCGUAGGCGGUUUUUUAAGUCUGAUGUGAAAGCCCACGGCUCAACCGUGGAGGGUCAUUGGAAACUGGAAAACUUGAGUGCAGAAGAGGAAAGUGGAAUUCCAUGUGUAGCGGUGAAAUGCGCAGAGAUAUGGAGGAACACCAGUGGCGAAGGCGACUUUCUGGUCUGUAACUGACGCUGAUGUGCGAAAGCGUGGGGAUCAAACAGGAUUAGAUACCCUGGUAGUCCACGCCGUAAACGAUGAGUGCUAAGUGUUAGGGGGUUUCCGCCCCUUAGUGCUGCAGCUAACGCAUUAAGCACUCCGCCUGGGGAGUACGACCGCAAGGUUGAAACUCAAAGGAAUUGACGGGGACCCGCACAAGCGGUGGAGCAUGUGGUUUAAUUCGAAGCAACGCGAAGAACCUUACCAAAUCUUGACAUCCUUUGACAACUCUAGAGAUAGAGCCUUCCCCUUCGGGGGACAAAGUGACAGGUGGUGCAUGGUUGUCGUCAGCUCGUGUCGUGAGAUGUUGGGUUAAGUCCCGCAACGAGCGCAACCCUUAAGCUUAGUUGCCAUCAUUAAGUUGGGCACUCUAAGUUGACUGCCGGUGACAAACCGGAGGAAGGUGGGGAUGACGUCAAAUCAUCAUGCCCCUUAUGAUUUGGGCUACACACGUGCUACAAUGGACAAUACAAAGGGCAGCGAAACCGCGAGGUUAAGCAAAUCCCAUAAAGUUGUUCUCAGUUCGGAUUGUAGUCUGCAACUCGACUACAUGAAGCUGGAAUCGCUAGUAAUCGUAGAUCAGCAUGCUACGGUGAAUACGUUCCCGGGUCU
rnacentral:rRNA from 1 species